GCUGGGUGGAUCCCUCCUGGAGGGAGGUGGGCUCUGCUCUACCUCCUGAGAGGAGAUUCUUCUUUGUGGUUUGUAUCCCUCUUUCACACCCCUGAGUAUCUGGGGCGCUAUUUUAAGUGGGAAGGGAGAGAAAAAGUGUUCUAUGCUGAGUAGGGUUGGCUGCAGGCUCUGAGAUUGUGGUGCCUUGAUCAUGAAGACAGACCUAAAUUUCCACUGACAUAAAAGGCUCAUCAGCCCUUGGUGCUGCUGUGUGAGGUGUCUGGCCCCAGAUGACUGUUUUGCUGAUGAGACCUUCCAGGGACACCUGCUCCAAGAUCCUCUGUCUUUCUCCUUGACUGCGCCUCACAUCAAGACAAGGACUAGCCCAGGGAGUCCUUUAGAGAGAAAAAAAAACCUUAUGGAGUAGAAAUCUUUCUUUCCCUAAAAUAAAUCAACAAGAGGAGGUUUAUAAUUUCUCCAGGGGGAAAAUUGCACCUGCCAGCCUGUUUCCUCAGGCCUGGGCUCUUGAAGCACUUGAGCACAAUUCCAGCUUGAAUUGCAGGAGUUCUCCUCCUGCCUGGCUCCCGUCGGAUGACUCAUGGCUUUCAAAGUUGGUCACGUCCUUCAGGAUCCUGUGGAAUUGAAUGGAGCCUUUCCUUCCCUGCAGCUCAAGGAUACAGAAUGGGAGCUGUCCUCCCUUCCAGCCCUGCCUCCUGCAUGAGCUCAUGUCAAAAUGUUCUCCUUGGAAAGUUGCAGCACGGUUCUGUUUGACAGACAGGAACACAGGAACAUGCUGGGUGCUUUGCCACAUUUCCCACAGGGAAUUUCACAUCUCUUCAGUUUAAACAAGGGUUUUCUCCGUGUCUUGUUUAACCCCCUUGCUGCCCUGCCACAGGAAAUAUUCCUGCAUGGCCUAAAUCUUUAUUUCCAGCUUUAGAAUGGGACUAGAGGCAGAGUUGAGACAGCCUGGAUUUUAGGUUAGAGGGACACUUUGCAUCGUAUCUUGGAGCUGAUGGGCUUCACCUGCAGCUGAGGCCUGGGAUGACGAGGGGUGAUGGUUUGGAACUAAAAGAGAGGAGGUUUAGACUCGAUGUAAGGAAGAACUUUUUUACAGUGAGAGUGGUGAGGCCUGGCACAGG